rnacentral:rRNA from 1 species
UACAGAGGUCUCAAGCGUUGUUCGGAUUCAUUGGGCGUAAAGGGUGCGUAGGUGGCGCUGUAAGUCGGGUGUGAAAUUUCGGAGCUUAACUCCGAAACUGCAUUCGAUACUGCGGUGCUUGAGGACUGGAGAGGAGACUGGAAUUCAUGGUGUAGCAGUGAAAUGCGUAGAUAUCAGGAGGAACACCGGUGGCGAAGGCGGCUACCUGGCCUAAGACUGACGCUGAGGUGCGAAAGCGUGGGGAGCGAACGGG